GAUGAAGAACGUAGCGAAAUGCGAUAAGUAAUGUGAAUUGCAGAAUUCAGUGAAUCAUCGAAUCUUUGAACGCACAUUGCGCCCCCUGGUAUUCCGGGGGGCAUGCCUGUCCGAGCGUCAUUACAACCCUCAAGCUCAGCUUGGUGUUGGGCCCCGCCGCCCCGGCGGGCCCUAAAGUCAGUGGCGGUGCCGUCCGGCUCCGAGCGUAGUAAUUCUUCUCGCUCUGGAGGUCCGGUCGUGUGCUUGCCAGCAACCCCCAAUUUUUUUCAGGUUGACCUCGGAUCAGGUAGGGAUACCCGCUGAACUUAAGCAUAUCAAUAAGCGGAGGA
rnacentral:misc_RNA from 1 species